CUACGGGCGGCUGCAGUGAGGAAUUUUGCGCAAUGGGGGCAACCCUGACGCAGCAACGCCGUGUGAGUGAAGAAGGCCUUUGGGUCGUAAAGCUCUGUCAACAGGGAAGAAGUUAUAAUUAUUUAAUAGAUAAUUGUAUUGACGGUACCUGUGGAGGAAGCGCCGGCUAACUCCGUGCCAGCAGCCGCGGUAACACGGGGGGCGCAAGCGUUAUUCGGAAUUAUUGGGCGUAAAGGGCGCGCAGGCGGUCUUGUCCGUCAGGUGUGAAAGCUCGGGGCUCAACCCCGGAAGUGCACUUGAAACAGCAAGACUUGAAUACGGGAGAGGAGAGAGGAAUUCCUGGUGUAGAGGUGAAAUUCGUAGAUAUCAGGAGGAACACCGAUGGCGAAGGCAUCUCUCUGGACCGAUAUUGACGCUGAGGCGCGAAGGCGUGGGUAGCGAACGGGAUUAGAUACCCGGGUAGUC
rnacentral:rRNA from 1 species